rnacentral:rRNA from 1 species
AUACGUAGGGGGGCGAGCGUUGUCCGGAAUUACUGGGCGUAAAGAGCUCGUAGGUGGUUUGUCGCGUCGUCUGUGAAAUUCCGGGGCUUAACUCCGGGCGUGCAGGCGAUACGGGCAUAACUUGAGUACUGUAGGGGAGACUGGAAUUCCUGGUGUAGCGGUGAAAUGGGAAGAUAUCAGGAGGAACACCGGUGGCGAAGGCGGGUCUCUGGUCAGUAACUGACGCUGAGGAGCAAAAGCAUGGGUAGCGAACAGGAUUAGAUACCCUGGUAGUCCAGGCCGUAAACGGUGGGUGCUAGGUGUAGGGGUCUUCCCCUACUUCGGUGCCGUAGCUAACGCAUUAAGCGCCCCGCCUGGGGAGUACGGCCGCAAGGCUAAAACUCAAAUGAAUUGACGGGG